CUGGGAAGAGUGAAACAGGGAAGAAUGGAAAGCCAGCCCAAGGGUGUGCUGUCUGGCUGAUUUACUGUGCGGGCAACUGGAGUUCUAACUGGUGAGGACAGCUCUGAGGAAUGUUGCGGAAAGUGCUCCAGAAUUAUGUGUCUGAGGCUCUGAGGAGGAGAGUAUUUUUCCCUUGUAUCCCGCCAUUCUUGGUCAAGAGUUUUCCCAUAGACUAUUAAGGCAGUAACAUUUACAGGGUUGCAAUGAGUGAGAGGAAGGAGUCCUGCAGGUAACCUAUGUGGCUGCAUCAGAGAAGCCAUGGGAAAGAAAGUCAGGUGUGCGAAGGGCAGCUGAGGGGAACUGCCAUCAACUAUACCUAGAGUAAUAAAAUGGUGGGCCAAGAUGACAUGAAGUGAGGCACAACAGAUGUCCUGUUCUAGGGCAGCUCAAAAAUGGAACUGCAAAGAGGAAGCUCCAAGAGAAGCCUGUGUUCUCUGGCCAGAUGGACCAAGAGCGGUCAUUACUAAAAGUUAUGCAUGUGUUGAAAGCUCAUAGAACUGUACACUCCAAAAAGUGAAUUUUACUAUAUAGUAAAAUUUAAGAUAAUUUUUAA
rnacentral:lncRNA from 10 species